GUGGGGAAUUUUGGACAAUGGGCGCAAGCCUGAUCCAGCAAUGCCGCGUGCAGGAAGAAGGCCUUCGGGUUGUAAACUGCUUUUGUACGGAACGAAACGGUUCUCUCUAAUACAGGGGGCUAAUGACGGUACUGUAAGAAUAAGCACCGGCUAACUACGUGCCAGCAGCCGCGGUAAUACGUAGGGUGCAAGCGUUAAUCGGAAUUACUGGGCGUAAAGCGUGCGCAGGCGGUUUUGUAAGACAGAGGUGAAAUCCCCGGGCUCAACCUGGGAACUGCCUUUGUGACUGCAAGGCUGGAGUGCGGCAGAGGGGGAUGGAAUUCCGCGUGUAGCAGUGAAAUGCGUAGAUAUGCGGAGGAACACCGAUGGCGAAGGCAAUCCCCUGGGCCUGUACUGACGCUCAUGCACGAAAGCGUGGGGAGCAAACAGGAUUAGAUACCCUUGUAGUCC
rnacentral:rRNA from 1 species